rnacentral:rRNA from 1 species
AUGGCGAACAACAACAGCACAUACGGUGAAAAUGUCAGUAGAAAAUCCCACACGCCUUCUGCUAUCGUUAUUGGUGGUGGGUUUGCAGGCAUUGCUGCUGCAAAUGCGCUCAGGAAUGCGUCCUUCGAGGUCGUUCUUCUGGAAUCCCGUGACCGGAUAGGUGGCCGAGUUCACACUGACUACUCUUUUGGGUUUCCUGUUGAUCUUGGGGCAUCUUGGCUUCAUGGUGUUUGUGAAGAAAAUCCUCUGGCACCGAUCAUUGGAAGACUCGGGCUUCCACUGUACCGCACCAGUGGAGAUGACUCUGUCCUUUUCGACCAUGAUCUCGAGAGUUAUGCACUUUAUGACACUAAUGGCUCUCAAGUCCCACAAGAGUUUGUAGAAAAGAUAGGGAAAGUGUUUGAGGCUAUACUGGAAGAGACUGGCAAAUUAAGGGAAGAAAUGAAGGAAGAUAUUUCUAUAGCUAAGGCCAUUGCAAUUGUUUUGGAGAGAAAUCCACACUUGAGGCAAGAAGGGAUUGCACAUGAUGUUCUCCAGUGGUAUUUGUGCCGCAUGGAGGGUUGGUUUGCUACUGAUGCGGAUGCCAUCUCGCUCCAGUGUUGGGACCAGGAAGUUCUUCUUCCUGGUGGCCAUGGUCUCAUGGUUCGUGGAUAUCGUCCAGUUAUAAAUACUUUGGCAAAAGGUCUAGAUAUACGCCUUGGUCACAGGGUUGUUGAAAUUGUUCGGCACUGGAAUAGAGUAGAGGUUACUGUAAGCAAUGGUAAAACAUUUGUUGCGGAUGCUGCAGUCAUCACCGUUCCCUUGGGUGUUCUUAAAUCAAACACCAUUAAGUUUGAGCCGAGGCUCCCGGAAUGGAAGGAGGAAGCGAUAAGAGAACUGUCAGUUGGAGUCGAGAACAAAAUAGUUCUCCACUUCAGUGAGGUUUUCUGGCCUAACGUGGAGUUCCUCGGAGUAGUUUCAUCCACCACAUAUGGCUGCAGCUAUUUCCUCAACCUUCACAAGGCAACAGGGCAUGCUGUUCUUGUUUACAUGCCUGCAGGCCGGCUUGCUUGUGACAUUGAAAAGAUGUCGGAUGAGGCUGCUGCUCAAUUUGCCUUUUCCCAGUUGAAGAAGAUCCUCCCUAAUGCAGCUGAGCCGCUUAACUACCUGGUGUCACACUGGGGCUCAGACGAGAACACGCUUGGUUCCUACACCUUUGACGGGGUAGGCAAGCCGCGCGACCUGUACGAGAAGCUCCGCAUCCCCGUCGACAACCUAUUCUUUGCCGGGGAGGCCACAAGCGUCCAGUACACGGGCACGGUGCACGGCGCCUUCUCCACGGGGGAGAUGGCGGCCGAGGAGUGCCGGAUGAGGGUCCUGGAGAAGUUCAGGGAGCUGGACAUGCUGGAGAUGUGCCACCCGAUGGCCGAGCAAACGGCCACCGUCUCCGUCCCGCUGCUCAUCUCCCGGCUGUAA